CAGCCGCCGCGGUAAUACGGAGGAUUCGAGCGUUAUCCGGAUUCAUUGGGUUUAAAGGGUGCGCAGGCGGCCGUUCAAGUCAGCGGUGAAAGCCCGGGGCUCAACCCCGGAAGUGCCGUUGAUACUGAGCGGCUGGAAUGCGGUUGAGGCGGGCGGAACGUGGCGUGUAGCGGUGAGAUGCGUAGAUAUCCCACAGAACGCCGAUAGCGGAGGCAGCUCGCCAGGCCUGCAUUGACGCUCGGGCACGAGAGCGUGGGGAUCGAACAGGAUUAGAUACCCUGGUAGUCCACGCCGUAAACGAUGGGCGCUCGUCGUCGGCGGCAGACAGUCGGCGGCCAAGCGAAAGCGAUAAGCGCCCCACCUGGGGAGUACGGUCGCAAGGCUGAAACUCAAAGGAAUUGGCGGGGGAGCAC
rnacentral:rRNA from 1 species